GCGAUGGGGACGGGGAUGGAGACGGGGAUGCGGAUGGGGAUAGGAUGCGGAGGGUCCCGGGGCUUGGCCCCGCAGCCAGGCGUGGGCUCGGGGCGGCGCGGCUCCGCCAGCGGUGCCCGCACAGCUGGAUGCGGGCGGGCAGAUGUUGCUGGCGGCAGCUGCGGCGCGGCUGGGCAGGGAGCAGAUGGGCUGCGGCGAGCGCCAUAUGGCCCGUUUAGCCUCUCACCUCGGGGAUAUCAAUCACAGCCAUCCCGGGAGCACGCACCGGCUCCGGCGGGAGCACGGCCGGCUCCGCGCGGCCCCGCUCCUCGGCCGCAGCAGUCAGGCGGUGAAGGGACCUCGUCGCUGUGGGACGAAGGACGUGGCCAACGCAGCCGGACAUCACACACCAUGAACAUCUCUGCGUUCAGGGCCCUGGCGGCCGUCGGAGUGGGCAGGCGCUGGCGUGUGGCCCGUGGUGCUGGCCGGCAGUGACACAGGGACAGCACGGCUUCGUGGGCUUCCAUGGAACUGUCACGUGCUAACAAGGAUCGCCGUGGAAAUAGACACUGCUGUAAUAAAUCCUUCAUGUCAGAUGACACCACCUGCACGACUGAGCUUCAGGAGUGGACCAAGAGCAGGAGAAAAGGGAGAACAACGCUCCAUUUGAAGUUUUGGGGAAAUCUAAGGGGAAUAAUGGAGUGCUUGUGAGAUGGCUCGUUCACAUCCAAGCCUGGCAGUGAGACCCCCACGCUCUGACUUUGCAUCAGGGCUCUGACUUCACAGUGACAUCCAACUUCGUCUGGGCAUCAACCUCACACAGACGUGCAGCCUCAGCGUGUCUCACCUGCCAUGGGAGGCCUGAUGGUCUCAUGGAACACGUGUGCGUGCUCCGGGACGUGAGUGCUCCAGGGCUGGAGCUGCCGGUGUGCCCAGAGGGGAGCUCGGUGCUGCUGCUGCAGCCGUGAGGACGCCGAUCCUCGGCCGAUGCCUGGUGCUGCCCAGGGCUUGGACAUCGGCUGCAGGCUUGUGCCUGAUGUGCAGCUGCCUCAUUCGCUGUUUGGGGACUUGGCAGCUCGUGUGACAUUGGACAAAAGGACACUUCAGCCCUCUUUCCCUCGGAAGGCGCUCACUGGAGUGGUACCACUGCUCUUGGGUGUCAGUGAUGACAGCCGUGUAGGUGUCCGUGUGCAGCGCGUGUGUCCGUGAAGCGGGGAUGGAUGGCGGCUGUUCUGGGGCCUGGCACUGCCUCCUUCACCCCUCAGCCCAGGCAGGGGACCCAGCCCCGGCCUGCAGCAUCAGCCACUGGCACACAACGUGUCUGUUCGUAUCAGCACCUCUUUGUUAGUCUGAAACUUUUGGUCUGUUGAAGAGGAAACAAAUCUCUUCCCUCACAAAACUCUCUCCUGAAACACAUGGCAAGUUAGACAGGGGAUGUGAGUAGCGAAAGCAGUGGAAAUGUGUCCAUGUAGGGAAGGGCCAGAUGCAGAAGCUGCGCUGGUGCUGCAGGACCCUUUAACGUACCCCACAAACACAGCCCUGCUGUGCCCGCCGAGGCCCGCGAGGAGGGCGUUUGAGGGAGCUGAUGACUCUUUAGUGACCAGGGACACAGCGCUGACCCUGUCUGGCCAUGCUGGCUGCUGCCCUUGGCGCUGACCGCCACACUGACGGUGCUGCCCUCGGGACUGCAAGGAUGAAAACCUCCCCAUGGUGACGGCCAUCCCGUUGCACUCUUCCUACUAGGAGAGGAACAACCCUAGCAACCCCUCAUAAGUUCCUGGGCUUCUUCAUCCUAAACAAGAACUGACUUUCCUUCCUUGGGAAUUUGCUGCACUGACAGCCUGGACUGGUGUGGAUUUUGGGGUUUUGAAGGGAAAUGGCAGCACCAGAUGCAGUUCCACUCACAGAUGGGUUGCAGAACAUGGCCUGGGGGAGCAGCUGCAGGGCCUGACCCUGCAGGAGCCGUGGGCUGGAAAACUUCACUGAUGGCAACUGGAGCCUGCCAGGAAGAUGGACUUGCACUUCCAGGAGCGUGCAUGGGGACAAUCUUCCCAUAUGGGCAGUCCAGGCCCAGAAGUGAUUGUGGUCCACUCUGGCCUAUCCACGUGCCCCAUUUCCUCAUGCUUGGAUCGCCUUUAACGCCCCAGUGUUAUGGCUUUAGGUGUUGCUUUCCUACAGGAGCUCAUCCUGUGGGUGAGGGGCCACCUCCAGCUCCCACCCCACUCCCAGGAGACCAGGGCAGAGACAAGGGACCUCCAUGAUCAGCACUUCAGGGGAAGAGCGACGGUGUCUGUAAUUAAACAUGUUCUUUGUGCUCCUGCGUUCAGAUACCCAAACCCAGCAUUUCCCCACAUGUCUGGAAUUGUGUUUGCAGUUAUUUAAUUUGGAGUUCUUUUUAAAAAGCAUGGAGUCUGGAAUGUUUGUUCUCUGCUUUUUUUCACAUCAUUACUCUGAUACUGCUUGAUUAGCUCCCUCCCCAGUCAUGAUUGGCUGGAACGCGGCCGUGGGGAAAUCCAGGGUCAGACGCCAGACCCCACCAUGGAGGAGGCCGAGUGUCCCCAUCCCUCCCUCCGCACCCUCCUCAUCCAGUGUCCCAUUGCCGCUGGAUACAGCUGGGAAUUGAGAUUCUGGAUUGGCUUUUAAUAAACGCAGCGCCUUUAAUUGCA